AGAAAAUUCAUUUUUUUUUAAAUUAAUGCAUUAGAAAAGUGUAAAUAUAAUGUUUUUUUUUUUUUUUUUAACUGUUUUUUUGCAUUUUCAGUUUUACUUUAUUUAAUUAAAAAAAAAUUUCAAAAUAAAAAAUUUUAUUGUUUGAUUAUUAUUUGUCCAAGAAAGUUAAAAAAAAAAAAAAAAAAAAAUAUGUAAAAAGUACAAAAAUAAACGAAUGAUUAAUAAAUAAAAAACAAGCAGAUAAAUAAAUAAUAUAUAUUUUAGAAAGUGGUUAAAUAAGCGAAUAAAUAAAUGAAUGGACAAACGAAUGGACACAAACGAGUGGACAAACGAAUGGAUAAACGAAUGGACAAACGAAUGAACAAACGAAUAAAUAAACGAAUAAACAAACGAAUAAACAAACGAACAAACAAACGAAUAAACAAACGAACAAACAAACGAACAAACAAACGAACAAACGAAUGAAUAAAUAGAAAGCCACAUAAACUAAUCAUUCACGUGAUAGGUUUUAUAUGAUUUUUUUUUUUUUUUAACAUUUAUUAUUUAGGUAAACAUUUUUUUAUAAGAAAAAAUUAGUUUUUUUUUUUUUUUUUUAUAAUAUAUAUAUGUAUAUAUAUAUAUAUAUAUAAUAGGCGUGCAAACCAUAAAUUCCAUCUUCUCAAAUCAAACAUAAGAGUAACGUAUUUUUUUUAAAAGUACUAGUUUUGUAUAAUUAAAGUAUUAUGUAAUUUUUUUUGUAAUGUUUUGUAUUUAUAUAUAUAUAUAUAUAUAUAUAUAUAUAUAAACUAAAUAGCACACAUAAUAAGCCGAGCACAUAUGUAAAUCCCUAUACCUAAAAUGUUUUUUUUUUAAAUGCAUUUAUUGGCAAUAAUAAUAUAUAAAUAUAUUUAAAUAUACCGUCGAAGUUAAAACAAUAUAAGAUUGUUUCCUUGGUUUUCAAAAUCAUGACUUAAUAUAAAAUGAUAAUUAAUGCUAAUUCGGUUCAAUUUUUGGAGAACAAAGACAGUGAAUUUCAAAAAAAUGAGAACGAUGGUACAAAUGAAAAAAAUGUGAGGAUAUAUGCAGAUGGCAUAUAUGACCUAUUACAUUUAGGUCAUAUGAAACAACUUCAACAAGCGAAACACUUAGAAAAAAAAAGUUACAUUAAUUGUUGGGGUUUGUAGUGAUAUAGAUACUAGAAAAUUCAAAGGACAGAUAGUACAAACAUUAGAAGAAAGAACUGAAACGUUAAAACAUAUUAGAUGGGUUGAUGAAAUCAUUUCACCUUGUCCAUGGGUAAUAACACCAGAAUUUGUUGAAAAAAUAUAACAUAGAUUAUGUAGCUCAUGAUGAUAUACCAUAUGCUAGUAAUCAAAAAAAUUCUAAUAAAAAAAAAAAAAAAAUAAUAAAAAUAAUUCA
ensembl:lncRNA